CGUAUCCUUCAAAGAACAGAACAUUACAGAUAGUUGUCCAAACAGAGAAUUUGCCAGUAGGAAUAGCUGUUGAUUCAGCCAAUGAUCAUAUCUACUGGGUUAUUCAAUUUGGAAACAAACUUUCAAGAUGUAAUCUAGACGGAACAAAUGCGACUGUUUUACCAACAUUGAUUGAACCCUGGGUGAUACGACUUGAUGUUUCAAAAAGGUGGAUGUAUAUAGUUGAAGAGAAUAUAGGAAUAUCGAAAUCUAGAUUCGAGUCAGCUGAAAAACAGACAAUCGUGAACUUUAUAUCAACACCUGUUCGAUGCAUGGAUAUAGACCCUGAUGAAAACAGACUGUAUUGGAUUAAUUACAAUGGUGACAUGAAAUCUGCCAAAGACGAUGGCUCUGAUGUUAAAACAAUCCUUUCAACAAAUGUUCGUAGAAACUACUAUGCCAUCGGUGUCUUCGGUAGUUACAUAUAUUAUACUAUUAGCAAUCAGUUGUUAAUGGAAACUAAAACACCCGGAUUCACAUCAACUGUUCUGUAUAACGGUACCAGCUUGAUUACCAGUAUAUUUGUGUUUAAUCAAUCAGGUAUGUAAAUAGUCAUUUAUAAUAGCGUUUAACAAUAAGCAAACCCAUAAAUCGACUUGGGUUAACACUUCUUACCAAUAUCAUAUAAGAUUAUUAUACACACACAUGCUUAGACAUGGUAGAAUGGUAUUUAUUUAUACAUUACUAGUAUGUCAUAAAAAGUAAAAUAACAAAAAAAACGAACUCCAAGUAAAAUUCAAAACAUAAAUUCCCUUAUCAAAUGGCAAAAUUAAAAGCUCAAACACAUCAAACGAAUGGAAAACAACUGUCAUAUUCCUGACUUGGUACAGACAUUUCCUUAUGUAGAAAAUGGUGGAUUAAACCUGGUGUUAUAACUAGCUAAACCUCUCACAAUUCCAUUAUAUUGACAACAAUAUAUGAGCAAAACCAACAUAAUAGGUAAAAUGUCAAAAAUUUGGGAACAGCAGUCAUUGUGUUAUCUUAAUCACAAUAAAAACAAAUAAACUACUCUACAAUUGAACAUGAAUACUACAAUAUAAGUGGAAGAAUUACGACAGACACGGUUAAAGUUAUUACUGCAACACCCGUCAUUAGAAUGUGUUGUGAUCAAUAUGAAAUUAAAAUCAAUGUGAACACACAUUGAGAUCAAAUUGAAAUAUGCAUACAUAUUUGUUACCAUAUUCGUACAAUGAAUAAGACUACAUGUUUUCGUUUAUAAUUCUGUAUGUUAAGUCACCAAACAUGUGUAGUAACGUAUUUUUGCCUUUUGUGUUUUGAAUAUGUUUCAAUCAUAUGAUAUAAACGUCUGUGAAAGCAUACCAACAUCAUAAUUGGCAUUAGAAAAGCCGAUGGGCUAAAAUGAUUCCCUUUGCACUCAGUUGUGAAGUGUUAUAAUUAAAACACCAGUACUUAGAAUUAUAAUUGAAGUCAAUCUAGAAAUAUUUUGUUUUUAUAUUUCUAAAGACAGCUUAUCAUGUAUUGAUGUCCUACAUGUGUUUUAUUGUUUAUUGUGAAUUGCUAGUUGCUUUCUAUUUUUUUUCAUAUUCAACUUUUAUUUCGUACAUAAAUAGCGUAUAGUUAUUGUUAUUAACCAAAUGUACAUGUUAUUUUCAUCCUAACGUUGCCAUCAAUGCUUUGCAUGCAAAUUAUUAAUGCAAUGUUAUUAUUUUAUACGUUUUAUGUUGUCUUCAUAGAUAAAAACGCAUUAUCAUUGAACACUUUUUUAUUUGAAUUAAUUAUCUUCGUUUUCUUUCUUUCAUUUCUUAGAUUUACUCAAUAAUGUUACUCACUUUAAAUUCAUUAUUGAUUAUAUGAUUUUUUAAUAUUAUAAAUGCUUACAGUGUAAUACCUGUCAUUAUUGUUAACGAGAAAACUAUUUACAAGACUUAGGUUUAUAAAGUAAUUUAAAUUUUCAAGACUGAAAUUGUUAUUAGUGAAAUUGUACAAACACGAGGUAAGUCAUUUUACCUUUUCAGUCUUUAUCAAUGAAAUAUUCUACUUAGCCCUAUUAGUGUUGAAAUAAUUUGAUAUGAUUGUCAAAUGAGACAACUCUCCGCUAGAGAUUAAAUGACAAAGCGGUUUCUUUUUUUUUAAAUUGAAUAUCAUUAGUUUUUUUAAAUCAAUUUCAUUUACCAAAUCCCGUGGUUCGUAUAUUCUGAAAUGUCUUUUUCUAAAUUUUACAAAUGACUUUCUUUUCAACGUCGAAAAACACGCGAAAAAUAAAAAAAAAACAAAACUUUUAGAGAUAUAAAAACACUUUUUUUUCAUUUUAAUUAAUUUCGCUUGCGUAUGAUGCAGUGACGUCAAUACAGGACUGACUUUAGGGUGAGAUGUACAUCCAUAGAGGCACUUAUUAAAUAUGGGUAAAAGGUAUUAUGAUAAGGUCUUGAAUAUUUUUACAUUUUUGUAAUUUUUAUACGACCGCAAAAAUUUUUUUGGGGUUCGUAUAAGGGUAUCAUGUCGUCGUCGUCGUCUGUGUCAUCGUCGUCGUUCGAAGACACAUUUAGUUUCCGGACAAUAACUUUAGUUUAAGUGAAUGGAUCUCUAGGAAAUUUAACCAGAAGGUUCAAUACCACAAAAGGAAGCUUGUGAUUGAUUUUGGGGGUCAUGGUACUAACAGUUUAGGAAUUAGCGGCCAAAAAGGGGCAUUAUUUUUGUAGUUUCCUGACAAUAACUUGUGUGUAAGUGUAUGGAUCUCUCUGAAAUUGUACCACAAGGUUUCAUAUUUCAAAAGGCUUGGAUUGAGUUUUGGGGUAUUUGCCCCAAACGUUCAGGAAUUAGGGCCAAAAAAGGGGCCAAAAACAAGCAAUUUUCUAAUUUCCAGACAAUAACUUGUGUUUAAGUGUAUGGAUCUAUCUGAAUUUGUACUACAAGGGACCAUACCACAAAGGGAAGGCUGGGAGGAUUUUUUAUUAUUUUUUUUUUUUCUAAUUUUUUUUUCAUUUUUACAUUGAUUAUAUCAGACGAUACUUCAAAUUUUUACGAUCUUUGACCACAUUUAUUUUGUGUCAGACCUAUAUUAUGUCAAAAAUUUGACCACAAUCCAAAUUCAGACAGUAUCAAGCUUGAAUAUUGUGUCCAAACUUGCCCCAACUGUUCAGGGUUUGAUCUCUGCGGUCGUAUCAGGCUGCGCUCGGCGAAGCAUUUUAUUGUAUCAUGUUACCAAUUAAUGUUUGAUCACAUACUAUAAUAGUAAAUUUGUUCUUUUGUCGAUGCAGUAUAUAAAUGUUGACAAAAAAGGAAAAAAUAAUUCAGAAAACUCAUGACUUAUUGCAUAUUAAAUCAUCUGUAAAAUAUAAAAACAUGAUAUAUUGGCAUAUGUUACACGCGACAUAUCGUAAAAAUUAUGAACAAAGAGCGAUCAAUAUAAUAACAAAAAAACAGCUUUUGAAGAAAGGCUAGACAUCGAAAUGAAGUCAUGUCUUCCAGAAAGGUUAUACUGGCAAAUUUUAUAUGCAGCCUGAUGUUUAGUUCUUAUCAAAAUACAAGUAAAUUUGCGAUAUUUUGCAACAGUUCAAUUAUAUGUGAAACAUAUGAUAUUUUUAAUGUUAAAAACAAACAAAAAAUGUUGAAUGGCAUUUCGAUUUAUAUCUAUCAUACACAGUCUUUGAUAUUUCCUUGCCAUCAGUUUGGUUUUUCACAAUUGAGAAAUAAUUGAGUUGUCUCUCGUUUUUUUUAGCCUACAUCAUGUCAAAAUUCUGGGCAUAUUACAAGAUGGAGUUUUCCUUUAUUUUGUUUACACUGCUGAAGUUUAAAAAUCCAUUCUGCAUUACAGUCACUAACAUUAGAGUGCAGGACGGCAAGAGUUCAAAGAAAUUCUUUGAGCACUACUUUUAUCGGCAUUCUAUAUUUAUCAUGUGUGUUUGUUGGUACUUUCAUUUUAUUAUAUACUAUAGCGCUAUUUUGGUGUUUUCUUUACUGAUAAGUGUUGGUUUAAAAUAGGGGAAGUCUCAGAUAUAUAUGUUAUAGAUUCGAAUUGAUUACAAGCUUGACAUAUUGAAAAACACCUGGUUGUUGUUAACAGUAUGUUGACAUCGUUAUUGUGUUUUUGUGUCCUUGUGUUGUUGUCUAAUUGACGUUUACCCCCCUUUAUUUAUAUUCAAAUGGAUAGAUCGUUGUGUACCUAAACUUUAUUUUUAUUUUAACAGAGUAAUAUUUAAAAUAAAAACACCGGAGAACAAAAUGACUAUUUAGUGUUUAUCAUAAUGUGAGUCAAUACAACAAAAUCCGCCGGAAAAAUUCAACUUCAUAAAUGAGAAAUGUACACCAUUCUAUUAGAUUGUUGAAUAUUGAAUAUUUGGUAUUUGUAUUCCUACCCGCAAGAUCGUUUGGUUCUGAUUCGACGUUGAACAAUUAAACUGAGCAUUUUGAAAAUAUUGUACAGUAAUCAGGACUUGCUGAUAAUUGUUGCUGUAACAUUUCUGUUUGUCUAUUAUGAUAGGUUUCGAGAUACUAUAUGGAACACGGAAAUUGGUUUUCAGAAUUGUCAGGUCAAUAGCUGUACGGAGACGUCUGAUAGGUUAAAUUUAAAAGACGAUAUACUAAACCGCAUGAAUUGUUGAUAAUUUUGGAUGCCGACAUCAAUCUAUCGAAACAAGUAGACAAUGAUUUCAAUUUCAUCAAUAUUGCCACAAGGGAGAUAAUAUGUGGUCCAUCAUGACAUUUCCAGGCUUAUUUAAGAGAUAAGAACAUCGGUAAACUACUGUCGCCUUAAUGCAUCAUCUAAUGGCUAGAAUAUCUACUGGUGAACAGUACUUUCCACGAUAAUUUACCAGCCUGGUAGCUUACAUGCAUGGCAAUUAUUAGAAGAAGAACCGAUCAACUGGAUGACGCGUCGUCCAGGAUAAAAUGAUGUCAGCAGGGAUGUUGUCAAGGACACAACAACUCCGAAAGAAAUAGGUGGCCCUAGGAUCAUUUAUAAAAAAGUUCAUUAGAACAAACUUGUUCUGUCUUCGAAUUCCUCGUUUUACUGCCAAAAUUCAGACAAGUUUAUGUAUAGUCGGCCAUGAACUUUACAACUUUCAGAUAAAUUAGAUCAACACAAUUUAUAGUCUUUAAAACUGUACAUACUUUGUCUUAGUUUUCUAUGUUGUGUUUUGUGUACUAUUGUUUGUCUGUUUGACUUUUUCUUUUUUAGCCAUGGCGUUGUCGGUUUAUUUUUCGAUUUAUGAGUUUGAAUGUCCCUCUGGUAUCUUUCGCCUUUCUUUUGUCAUGAAUUUUGCAUGAAUACUUAUGUUUGAAAAAGCGAAUGACAAAAGCUGUCAUGUCACUUAAAUAGUAAAUAAAAUUUUUAUCCCGAUGAAAAAAUAGCGUAGCUGGAAAAAAAACAAAGCUAUACAAUUUUUUUAAAAUUAUCACCAUUUUUGUAGCAAGUCAGUUCUAGAUGAAAAUAUCGUCGAAUAUAAAUACAUAUAGAGAAAAUCAUCAAUCAAACAUUCGUAAGUUUUAAGAAAAUACACUUCGCAAAGUUAAAUGAGCUUCUUUGAUGCAAAUCUUGAUUUUGUUAUUCAAUCACAAAUUAAGCUGAGAUAAAUGACAUAUUUCACGUCUUAAAUCAUUUUUCUUUGGUUAAUAAGAUAGACUUAUUCUACAUAUAUGUCCCUUCUAUGGUAAAGAAUGCACAGUAUCAGGAUAUCAAAGAAUUUCAAAAGCUGCUAUGUCUUCCGUCGUUUGCUUUAGAGGAAAAUGGGAGGCCUGAGAUGUAAACAGUUAUCGCUUUUUGUGUAAUUUUCCUUUGAUCUUUUUCCUAUCAUGCUAUUCGCUUGAGAUAGAAAACUGUCGCUAUAAACUAACUGCGCACGUGCUGUUGUCAAUGUAAACAUCAAUGACGUUAUAGGCAAAAGAGCGAUAAACAGAUUAUCAAUGGUUUUUCAUACUCGAGGAUGUUUCUCGGCAACAUUUCAUCUCAGGGCUGUCGCCAUUCAAUGAGAUUUAAGCUGAAAAACAUCCUCUCAUCUGAAAAUCCAUCGAUAAUCUCUAUAUAUUGAAGACAACACCAAAUACAAACACACGACUCCUCCAAAAUAUAUUCGUACUAACAAACAACACAUGGCCAUGAUAAUCUGACAUCACGGCCGCGUGCAGUCACAAGAUAUGGUUGAGUUAAACCCAUAUCACGUUACUACACCGAUCAAGAUCUAAUAUCGUAAAAUUAAACACACACAAUAAAAAACAUGCAGCUACCAGCAUGAUGACUAUCAACUUGAACAAGUAAAUAAUUUGGAAAGAAUUAUUAAAGCAUCAAGCAAACGCGUAUAUUAACUUAGUUAAAAGUUUUAUUAAGAAAAUGAAACGAUUUGUAUUACAUGAUUUUACUGUUAGAAAAUAAAUUGUUUCUUGGUAUUAACCAUAAAGAUAUUUACUUAUUAUUUGCAAAUGUCUCUCAUCAUAUAGCCCUAUUUUGGUGAAUUAAAAAGAUAUUCCUGUUAACUUGGUGUAAGCCUUACAGCUCUGCACUUAUUUGAGCAUUUAUAAUGACAGUUUCAUCAAGUAGAGGUGAUUAUUUCAUUUAUGUAUUUCAUCUUAGGGACAAUUAUCCUUGGAAAUCGUUCCUGUUCCUGACAAGUAGAUACACGACUUUAAUUCUCGGACUUUGAUUAUUGUUUAUAUAUAUAGUUGCUUUUCCUUUCAUUUAUAUUAACAGUUAUACAUUCUUUAAUCGUUAUUAUAUUUUAGAAACUGGCAUCAGGAAUAAGAAAUUCUGGGAAAUUUUUCUUUUCACUUUAGAAUUUUAUACUGAAUUUUUCAUUAUUCCUUGUGUUGAUGUGCUUUUGAUGUGGACACAAUCUGCAAAUUCUGCAACAUCGAUAUAAAAAGAAAUUAAAAUAAGAUAUGAAGAGAGCAUGAGUCAAAAGUAUCAAAUAUGCAAAAAUUAUUCUUUAAUGUUAUCAUGAUUUAUGCAAUGAAGUAGGAAAAGAGAAUAGACUAGAUUUUCUCUUUUUCAAAUAGAAAUCGUUGUAUAUUAACUGUAUAU